CGUGCGUGCGUGCGUGCGUGCGUGAGGUGGAGAACUGCCCACAGUGAUCGAAAGUGGGCAUCGGUUUCCCUGAAGCUCGAGUUACAGGCAGUUGUGAAGUUCCGUAUGUGUUUUCUCAACCACUCAUGAUGAAAGGGAAGACAGCGUUUCUCUUCAGUUUCUUCUCUCCUGUGUGGGUGAGAAGGGACUUCUCUGUUAAGCAACAUUCGGCAAGUACAAGAGGUGCAUGCAGGGUUCCUGAACCAGGAGCAAGGGACUCGGUUAUCUAGAAGGCACGGCAGCUGCUGCAAGCUGGCUGCCCUUUGUCCCUAAGAGGCUAACAGUAAACCACCAAGCUGAUUCUAUUCCUUCUCACACGGGAUGAUGAUGAGCAGUGUUUUUCAGAAUCUGAAACAGGCUGACUUUAUACCCUGACUCGUUUAGCCCAGUUCACUAACAGUUGCUAAAACAAAACAAUUGAAAAUAUCCAUGGACACACAUGUGGGUCCAUGCACACACACACACACAUACACAUACACCCAGGGGAGAGAGACAGUGAGAGAGAGAAAGAGAGAGAGAGAGAGAGAGAGAGAGAGAGAGAGAGAGAGAGAAACAGAGAGAGAAACAGAGAGAGAGAAACAGAGAGAGAGAAACAGAGAGAGAGAAACAGAGAGGGAGAGGAGGAGGAAGAGGAGGAAGAGAAGGGAAGGAAGGAGGGAAGGAGGGAGGGAGGGAGAGAGACAGAGAGAGAUUGAGUUCAGAUCAAACUGUCUGAUGAGAAUUAGGUGAUUAUCACUGGCCUCUCUAUUCCAGUCUAAACCAAAAACAGAGAGCUAUUUUCCAAUGUGUGUGUGUGUGUGUGUGUGUGUGUGUGUGUGUGUGUGUGUGUGUGUGUAUUUGGGACAGAUAGAAAAUAGCAAACCGUGGCAUAUUCAAAGAGCUCCAACAAAUAAAGUGUUUUCAUAGGCAAAACUGAUGACUUCUACAUCAGAUAUUUUAGCCCUUGGUCACAGUGGUGAGUAAGAAUGGCCUUGGUCCUGGACUGAACACACCAUUUGGACAGAUGUCCUUGUACAAGUACUUUUUAUGUAAGGUUGUGGUGGCAUUUUGUGGGUGCGCUAUGCUGCAGUGUAGGCUGCAAGUCUUCCGUGUCCUUCGUGGUACUGCUGACCAGGCAACUUUGCAUAAGAAGCUUCCUUCAAAAUCUCUGGGCUCUGUUUAUUUUUUUUUUCAAGUUGGCAGGAUGAGUCUAUUUUGAUUUUGAAAACUUUCGCAGUUCUUUUAUAUAAGAGACAGCUCAAGGAUUCAGGUGUCUCCAGUUAAACUAUUUCAGCAUCUUCCUAAUGGAGUUCUGACUUGGCUUGUAUGCAGAGUUAGAUAACUUUAGGAGCCAGAGUGGGAAAUGGUCCACUUUACUUCUUUCUACAAGCCAUACCCCUCCAGUCCCAAAACCCAUUUGGAUGGAAAGGAAGACUUUGUGUACACCUGGAAAGAGAAUACAGAACUACAGGUUCUUAUGUGGGUCUCAUAGUUUCCCAGGUCUGUCAGUUUGACUGAAAGUAAAUGACAUCCUUUAACCGAAAGUCAACAUUUCUUCCAAUUAAAUGUAGGUGUGGUACAUGCUGCUUGUCUCGGUCAGGGCUUCUAUUCCUGCACAAACAUCAUGACCAGGAAGCAAGAUGGGAAGGAAAGGAUUUGUUCAGCUUACACUUCCACAUUGCUGUUCAUCACCAAAGGAAGUCAGGACUGGAACUCAAGUCGGUCAGGAAGCAGGAGCUGAUGCAGAGGCCAUGGAGGGAUAUGUCUUACUGGCUUGCUCAGUUUGCUCUCUUAUAGAACCCAAGACUACCAGCCUAGGGAUGGCACCACCCACAGUGGACUGGGUCCUCCCCCCCUUCAUCACUAAUUGAGAAAAAUGCCUUACAGCUGGGUCUCGUGGAGGCAUUUCCUCAACUGAGUUUCCUUUCUCUGUGAUAACUCCAGCUUGUGUCAAGUUGACACACUAAACCAGCCAGUGCACUGUGGUACGCUAAGCCUCAGGCAGUUGGGUCCACCUAAAUUCAGUUCAGCUGAGGUAAUCAAUUUCAUAUGUGAUAUCAGUGUCUCUUCUAGGAGAUGAUGUAGCUGUUCCUGUCUGUAUCCAUGUCUUCUUCAGAGUUUGAGAAGGUCACUGGAUGGAUACACGGGUACCAUCUAAAAAUACAAACUGGCUAAUGACCACAGGGCAACAUGUAGAGGUUCACGUGUAAAUAGAGCAGCUGCGAGUUCUUUACUGCAGCAAUUGUGAAGAACGCUCUAAAACUUUUUCAAAAUUUUCCAUGUAGACUCCACUGCCAUUUGUUCUUAUGGAAGAUCAAUACAAUGAUGGACUAUUUGCCUACUUUUCUUUGCUAACUCCUUCUCCCCAGUUACUCACUCUUUCCUGAGAUGAUCUCCCAAGUAAACUAGCUAUGUCAAGGCAUCAUGACAGCCAGUUUAAGCAUUGGUGUGAAAACAGGUUCUACCAAAACAUACCUCACUAUGGGUCUUUCCAGCUAAAUUACCAUAUAGUCAUAUAACAACAGUUGCAUGUUUAAGUGUGAGGAGAUGAACACUACAUGUGCUGUGACAUCAUAGUGACUGGGAGUAGCUACUGUAUACUGUGUGUGGUAAAAGUACAAGGCAAAACAUGAACAUCAUUCAGGUGUCAGAAUGGUAUAGGGCAGCGGUUCUCAACAUGUGUGUCAUGACCCCUUUAGGGGUUAGGGGUUCAAAUGAUCUUUCCACAGGGGUUACAUAUCAGACAUUUACAUUACAAUUUAUAAUGGUAGAACACUAUAAUUAUUAAAUGGCAAUAAAAUAACUUUAUGGUUGGGGUCACCACAACAUGAGGAACUAUAUUAAAGGUCACACAGCAUUAGCAAGGUUGAGAACCACUGAUUUAGGGACAAAUGUCUCUUAAAGGAAUUAGUUAUGUAAGCUGGGCUUGGUGGCUCAUGUUCAUAGUCCCUUGGGCAGAACAAUCCCUGGGGUUUUUUUGUUUGUUUGUUUGUUUGUUUGUUUUAGCAAGCAUGAACUACAUAAUUAAGUUCCAGGCCAGCCUGGCCUAUAGAGUGAGACCCUGUCUCAAAACUACACGAGAAUGAGAGAUACGUAGAUAAGACUGAGAACUUGGAAUUGCAAGCUUCUUUUAAACUCUUUGUGUUGUAAAAAUAAUCUCACCUUCUUCUAGGGAAGCAGCCUUCUAUCGACUAAAGACCUUGGGGUAGCUCAGCUAAAGGAGACGUUCAUCACACAUGCCUUAAUUCUUAAAGGCCAAACUUCCUUCACUAUGUCUGUCCAAAAAGACUGCUAUCUAGUCCAUGCAGCGAAGAAUAAUUCUUGGAAUAAAUCAUAAAAUUUGUAAAAUUGGAGCAAUAUAUACUAAUGAGAGCUAAACAUGAGCUUAUGACCCAGGUUGAGGAAGGGUUAAUGAACAUGACUAUCCUCCCUCAGAUCUUAAUGCCCUAGAGCCACUUCCUCCCUGUUGCUAUAGUGGAUCCAUUAUGCUUGGAUGCGACAUUGUACUAUAUUAGAGGAAGCAGAGAUGACAGACUGUGUUUGGUAAAUUGAAGGAAGGAGCAGAAGGACUAGAUAAAUGGGCACUUUGGAUGGAUUAAUUAUUUGAGACUGAAGAACUUACUACCUGACUGUUCCAUUGAAGAUAAAGCACAUCCCUCUCCAAGGACAAAGCUAUACUAGCCAUAGAGAUACCAAUGCCACUGAGAAAUUUGGUCUAGGCUAUUAGGGGAAUAAUUUUCUUAACCUUGUAGAAUCCUUGAGGAUUUUAUCGGGACUCAUAUGAGUUCCUAUAAGCUAUACCUACUGUCUUAGUUAAGGCUUUAUUGCUGUAAAGAGACACUAUGACCAAUGCAAAUAUUUAAUUGUGAGUAACUUAACAGUUUCAGAGGUUCAGUUCAUUAUCAUGGCAGGAAGCAUGGCAGCCUGCUGGAGGAGCCAAGAAUUCUGCAUCUUCAUCCGAAGGCAGCCAAGAAGAGACUGUCUUCCUGAAGGCAGUCAGGAGGUGAAGACUCUCUUCCACACUGAGGAGAACUUGAGCACUAGGAGACCGCAAAGCCUACCUAUACACUUCAACAAAACCACAUGUAUUCCAAUAAGACCACACCUCCUAAUAGUGCCAUAUCCUGCGGACCAAGUGAGUUUAAAUCAUCAUACCUACUAAUCACAAACAAAUCAGCCCAUUCCCUUUUUAAAAAAAAUGUAUUUUAAUUCACAAGUAAAUGUUGAAUGAUUAUAACAUA